rnacentral:rRNA from 1 species
AUAAGCGCUGAAAGCAUCUAAGCGCGAAGCCAACUUCAAGAUAAGAUUUCCCACCGCAAGGGUAAGACCCCAGAAAGACUAUCUGGUUGAUAGGUCGAAGGUGUAAGUGCAGCAAUGUAUUUAGCUUAUCGAUACUAAUAGGUCGAGGACUUGACCAAUAUUUAUU